rnacentral:rRNA from 1 species
UACAGCAGCCAGCGGCCUGCGUCACCCUGUAACUGUCAACUGGCAGCCCACUGAAGCUCAGCAGGUGUGAGUCUGGUUGGUACCUGGAUGGGAGACCUCCUGGGAAAGCUAAGGUUGCUGCUGGAA